rnacentral:lncRNA from 1 species
CUCAGUGGUGCAGAUAGAAGAUGUUUCCUUGAGGGCCCAGAAUUCAAGCAGCUGUCGGCAGAAUUUAGAGGCCAGCCCCAGUGUCCAUUCUGUUCAACAAAAAUCACGAACAGUGUUGAGCUGUGCUGACUUCCAGCGUCGUGUUAUGACGCACUUGAGCAUCCUAAGGCACAACCAGACUGAAAUGCUGGAGAUGCUAGCGGCUGACCAACGGAGGCGUUGCGACUCAGAAUUGGAAAUGCUGCAGCAGCCUGAGCCAUCCCUGCGAAGCCCCUUAAAGAAUGUGCAGGAGGUUUUGGACUUCAAUGAGUCUCGCACUGAAGCUACCACAGAAGCUCUGGUAUAGUUCAAUAAAAUGUUUCAUUCAGAUGCUAGUGCUGCAGAUUUGCAAAACGUAUGGCAGCUGAGUUUCCGUAAAUUUCACUAUAAGAAGGCUUAAAUUAUGUUGCGUACAUUUCUCUCUCGCAAGCUUUCAAAGAUGCAUGUGUGCGUGAUCCUUGGUACAUAUCUGUAUCUGUAAUCUCUUUUCACUGACACACCUGCCUGCGGAAAGUUACAUGGGUCCUGUACAUUUCUUCCAGGUUCGUGACCUUAUGUCCUACGGCUCAAGGACGUUAAAUUUGACCGUGAAGGGCAUGAUGGCCUACAUUAUGAGCAGUGAAGCUGCAUGCGAGUUCAGCAUGGAUGGCCGCAAAGGCAAGCUCAAGUUCAGAGAACUUAAGUUCACCAAAAUUGUGUUCUGUAAGUAUGUGUAUUCACAUCUGUUGUGUGUUGAGUGCUUGAAAUUUUUCAAUACUUCUCCAUCUUUUUUAGCGGCUGCUCGGCGGACACGCCACCACAAAGAAUGUACACUGGAAGAAGUUGUUAUCCAAAUAAAGGAGUGGCUGCGCAGGGCCAAGGAAAGGUGUGCACCCAGGGAAAAGAGGUCUGGAAUGCAGGACCAAUGACCCUCUUUUUUUUUCUGAAGCAAGAAUGGGCACAUUGUGCGAAACUGUACAAUUGAAAAUAAAAUCUGAUUCCGUCUAAUGUUUUGUUCAUGUAUACCACAUUGCAGGAAUGCAGCCAUGACAGUGUAGCACGGCUGUUAGGUGCAUAUACUCAAAGCUUGGAACCAGCAUUAAAAUGAUUCACUAUCACCAAUUAUUUAUAGAAGUUAAUUUGUUGUGUUUGUACUAAGACUUUUUACUUAACACUGCUAUUU